GAGGAAUACCGAUGGCGAAGGCAGCCCCCUGGGAUAAUACUGACGCUCAGACACGAAAGCGUGGGGAGCUAACAGGAUUAGAUACCCUGGUAGUCCACGCCCUAAACGAUGUCAACUAGCUGUUGGGGCCGUUAGGCCUUAGUAGCGCAGCUAACGCGUGAAGUUGACCGCCUGGGGAGUACGGUCGCAAGAUGACAACUCAAAGGANUUGACNGGGACCNGCACAAGCAGUGGAUGAUGUGGAUNAAUNCGAUGCAACGCG
rnacentral:rRNA from 1 species